rnacentral:misc_RNA from 1 species
UACGGAGGGUCCAAGCGUUAUCCGGAUUUAUUGGGUUUAAAGGGUACGUAGGCGGAGCUUUAAGUCAGUAGUGAAAGCCCAUUGCUUAACACUGGAACAGCUAUCGAUACUGGAGUUCUUGAAUAUAGAUGAAGUAGGCGGAAUACGGCAUGUAGCAGUGAAAUGCAUAGAUAUGCCGUGGAACACCAAUCGCGAAGGCAGCUUACUAAUCUAUGAUUGACGCUGAGGUACGAAAGCGUGGGGAGCGAACAGG